AAUUUUUGUAUUUUUAGUAGAGACGGGGUUUUGCCAUGUUGGUCAGGCUGGUCUCGAACUCCUGACCUCAGGUGAUCCGCCCACCUCAGCCUACCAAAGUUCUGGGAUUACAGGCGUGAGCCACCGUGCCUGGGCUAUUUUUAAAAGAUGGAGAAGGGGCUCUGAGAGAAGUGAGUUGCACAGUGUUGCAAAAGGAAUUCACAGCACAGCUAGUAAUAAUAGUAGUAGUAGUAAUAAUAACAAUGGCGAUGAGAACACUUAGUAAUGCCGUGCUCUAAAUCCUUUAGGAACAAAGGUUAUACCACUUAAUCUUCAUGACCCUGUAAAGUAGAAACCAUAGCAGGAGGCAGAGGUGGGCUUCACUCCCCAACCAAGGCUGCCAGACUUUUCAAACCCCAGAAGCUCUCUGUAUCCCCCCACUCCUCUUCCAUCCAGGGCUUGCCUCCUGCUUGGUCACUUCCCACCCCCAACAGGCCGGCCUUCAAAAGCGAGCUCUAGGCAGCGUGUGGGACCUCACGCCUGUAAUCGCAGCGCUUUGAGAGGCCGAGGAGGGAGGAUCACUUGAGACCAGUUCGAGACCAACCUGGGCAUCAUAGCGAGACCGCAUCUCUGCAAAUAAAAUAAAAUAAAAUUAGCUAGGUGUGGUGGCGCGCCUGUAGUCCCAGCUACUGGGAGGCUGAAGUGGGAGAAUCGCCUGAGCACAGGAGUUGAAGGCUGCAGUGAGCUGUGACUGCACCACUGCAAUCCAGCCUGGGCGACAGAACGAGACCCUGUCUCUAAAAACAAACGCGCGCCCUCCGCCGUCAGGCUGGAUGGAGGGAACCCAGGGAGACGACUUGGGCCUGAAGCCUCGCCAAUUUCAGGUGAGGAAACAGGGCCGUGGAGGAGACAAUGUGGCGAUCACAAGCAAGCGGCGGCCCGAAGGAGGAGGCUAGACCGGCGGGCGCACAGCCACAGUUCUGCAGUGAUCCCCGGGAAGGUGGGCAGCCGGCCCGGUGACCUGCAGGGUCCGAG
rnacentral:lncRNA from 10 species